rnacentral:rRNA from 1 species
GAUCCUGGCUCAGGAUGAACGCUAGCUACAGGCUUAACACAUGCAAGUCGAGGGGCAUCAUGGAGUUGCUUGCAAACUCUGAUGGCGACCGGCGCACGGGUGAGUAACGCGUAUCCAACCUUCCCUAUAGUAGAGGAUAGCCCGGCGAAAGUCGGAUUAAUACUCUAUGUUUUCCGUUGCAGACAUCUAAGAUGGAACAAAGGCUUGCCGCUAUAGGAUGGGGGAUGCGUCUGAUUAGGUAGUCGGCGGGGUAACGGCCCACCGAGCCAUCGAUCAGUAGGGGUUCUGAGAGGAAGGUCCCCCACAUUGGAACUGAGACACGGUCCAAACUCCUACGGGAGGCAGCAGUGAGGAAUAUUGGUCAAUGGGCGAGAGCCUGAACCAGCCAAGUAGCGUGCAGGAUGACGGCCCUAUGGGUUGUAAACUGCUUUUAUGCGGGGAUAAAGUUCACUACGUGUAGUGUUUUGUAGGUACCGCAUGAAUAAGGACCGGCUAAUUCCGUGCCAGCAGCCGC